rnacentral:tRNA from 1 species
UGUAUUAGGAAGAGAUGUAAAAGAUGUUACUAAGUGGAAAGGUAAUAUCAACGUAAGUUCUGACCCUGAAGAUAAUCAG